rnacentral:rRNA from 1 species
UACAGAGGUCUCAAGCGUUGUUCGGAUUCAUUGGGCGUAAAGGGUGCGUAGGUGGCGCCAUAAGUCGGGUGUGAAAUCUCGGGGCUUAACUCCGAAACUGCAUUCGAUACUGUGGUGCUUGAGGACUGGAGAGGAGACUGGAAUUCAUGGUGGAGCAGUGAAAUGCGUAGAGAUCAUGAGGAAGACCAGUGGCGAAGGCGGGUCUCUGGACAGUUCCUGACGCUGAGGCACGAAGGUCAGGGGAGCAAACGGG